rnacentral:rRNA from 1 species
CCUACGGGUGGCAGCAGUGAGGAAUCUUUGUCAAUGGGCGAGAGCCUGAACCAGCCAAGCCGCGUGAAGGAUGACGGCCCUACGGGUUGUAAACUUCUUUUGUCAGGGAGCAAUUGGGUCCACGCGUGCGCUUAGCGAGAGUACCGGAAGAAAAAGCAUCGGCUAACUCCGUGCAAGCAGCCGCGGUAACACGGGGGAUGCGAGCGUUACCUGGAUUGUUUGGGUUAUAGGGGGGCGUAGGCGGAAUAUCAAGUCAGCGGUAAAAAUUCGGGGCUCAACCCCGUCGUGCAGUUGAAACUGAUGUUCUUGAGUGAGCGAGGAGUAUGCGGAAUGCGCGGUGUAGCAGUGAAAUGCAUAGAUAUCGCGAAGAACUCCGAUUGCGAAGGCAGGAUCCCGGAGACCAACUGACGCUGAGGCACGAAAGCGUGGGUAUCGAAAAGGAUUAGAUACCCUAGUAGUC